rnacentral:rRNA from 1 species
UGAGUUUGAUCAUGGCUCAGAACGAACGCUGGCGGCAUGCCUUAUACAUGCAAGUCGAACGAGAAAGUCACUUCGGUGGCGAGUACAGUGGCGCACGGGUGAGUAACGCGUAGAUGAUCUACCCUUCAGUCUGGGACAACUCUUGGAAACGGGAGCUAAUACCGGAUAAAACCUUCGGGUUGGAAGAUUUAUCGCUGGGGGAUGAGUCUGCGUACCAUUAGCUUGUUGGUGGGGUAACGGCCUACCAAGGCGACGAUGGUUAGCGGGUCUGAGAGGACGAUCCGCCACACUGGAACUGAGACACGGUCCAGACUCCUACGGGAGGCAGCAGUAGGGAAUAUUGCGCAAUGGGGGCAACCCUGACGCAGCAAUGCCGCGUGAGUGAAGAAGGCCUCCGGGUCGUAAAGCUCUUUUAUGGGGGAAGAUGAUGACGGUACCCCAUGAAUAAGCACCGGCUAACUACGUGCCAGCAGCCGCGGUAAUACGUAGGGUGUGAGCGUUGUUCGGAAUUACUGGGCGUAAAGGGCGUGCAGGCGGAUUGGCAAGCCGGAGGUGAAAGCCCGGGGCUCAACCCCGGAGGGUCUUUCGGAACUG